CCACGCACACACAGGGAGAAAAAAAACCCCUAAAAAAAGAGUGAGGAAAAACACAGGCUAGCGCAAGCGGCAGGCGGCGGGGGCCCGGGGAGCCGGGGCGCCAAGGCAGGGCAGGACUUCAGCCCGCAGGAGCUCCCCGGCCGGCCGACCGGACCGCUACCUGGGCAUCUGGGUGCAUGCAUCGCCACAUCGGCCGCUGGAGGGCCAAGCCGCCAGAGCAUCACUAUAUGAUGUCAGUCGCUUGCUGGAAACCCGGGUUAGCAGCUGUGAAGACACUGCACCAGCGAUAGCAAUCAGUGGUAGUGAUGUUAGCAUGACAAGAGUUAGGAGCCAGCCUUUUGUGAAUGCUAUGAUAAAACCCCCAAAGAAGGCAGAUGCAAGUUGCACAAGCUUCCCUGCCUGUAAAUCAGAAUGUUCGAAUGUCAGAACCAGCAGCACUAGGUGGGCUGCAUAGAAUGUACGAACUUCUUUCUUUGGUACUACAAAUGAAGUAUUACCUUCUCACCAAGAGCAUCUUGAAUUAUGACCGUAUCGCUAGACAUUCUAGAAACUGCUUCACCAGUUGUCAUUUCUGUGUCGAAGAAUGCAAUAUCUUGUCUCAGAACAGAUUUCAGGUACAAAGAACGGAUGCGGGCUGACUGCCUUUCUCCUGCCAUUGUCCAGCAUGCCACCUCUGGAAGAAAAUGAAGGGAAACAUGCAUUCUAAGAAUUGGAUGGAAAUUCCACUUACGAAGAAAAGAAGCAACUGCUGUCCCAAUGCCCAGAUAUAUGAAGUUGAGAACAACCUGGAGAUAAAAAGAAUAUUCUCCAUUAGCUCGUCUAGCCAAGCCACCCUUC